UAAUCCACCACUGGCUGUGAGCUUCGCCACACUCCUCCCUUCUUCCCCACCUCGCCCUGGCGCGCUCACCCCUACGUGGGAGAGCUCAGGUACGUAGUUGGAUGGGAUGUCCUGUGAGAAGGCAUGCAGAUAACAGAAAUGUGAGGCAAAAGAGCAAGAAAGAGGCAUUGCAUGUGGCCCUGAGGAUGUAAAGUUGAAUAAGGAUGUUCCUGCCUUUCAAAUGCCAAUAAUCCUUGGAGAAGAUAUGCAAACAUGUGAACACUAUACAAUAUGAUAUGCAUGCCCUUCAAGUCCGUUUCUUAGCCUGUCCACAAACAGUUCUGUCAGCUGCACAGUGACCCGGAGUUCUGCAGCCCCACCUGAGUCUGGGGAAGGGGCAAAGACACCGGCUGGGCAGCUUGCUGGAGCCAGGUGCUGUCUCCUCUCUAACCACGUUGGCCUGUGUGACCCUGCACACGUGAUUGGCUCCCAGUAGUGCCUUCAAGUUAAAAUCCAAGAUCCUGAGCAUGGCCUCACAGAAUCCUUCACCAGCUGGCCGUUUCUCUAGCCUCAAUUCGUCUCUCACCAUGAUGCUGGCCUUGGCUUCUGGGUAUUCUGUCUGCAUUCACGUGGAACUAUCUGGAGGUUAGGGAGUUGAGACCUGGAAAGAUGAAAAGUGAUUUUCCCAAGCGCCUAGAUCAUUGUCCUCUUCAGCAUCACAGUAGCAAACAUUUGCUUGCCUAGUGCCAACUACCGAUCUAGGCACUUCCCACGUAAUUACUGUUGCUGGAGAGAGGUUGGAGCUAUGGCUGCUGGACUAAGUUGAGAGAUACCACGAAAGAGAAGAGGAUCCCGAGAGAUGUUGCAAGUUCUGACAGGUAGCAGCUUCACCUAUGGGGAGACGGGCUGGGUGAGUCAGGAAGGACGCCCUCAGGAUGUGGAUCAUCGCUGGUACUCUCAUUGUUCUUUUUCCGUAUUCUUCACUAUUCUUAUUAUCAUUUUACUUAGGUUCAAUGUAAUUUUGUAAGGCUAACUCGAACCACCAUGUAAUUCUUAAAGGGGAUUUUGAUAAGGUUUCCAAGCAGUGUUGCACAGGUUUCUCAUGUUCCCUGCCCUCAUUACUUUACAAUCUGAUUUGAAGUCAUUGCCCAUCCUGGAGUUUCAGCAGACCAACUGGGCUCCAGGUACAGAGAAAAGGGCAAUCUUUAGGUAGCAAAGGGCUUCCCUGUCUAGUUUCUGGCUCAGAGAAGCACAAAUAUCCACUUUUCAUGUGUAUCAGAUCCAGAAUCAUCUGUAAGAGCUGGGCUGACUUCAGGAGCAGAUGAUUUUUCCCUUUCAUCUCUAACAAAUAAUGGUGCUUAGAGCAAUGCGUGUUUACCGGUAACAAAUUCCACCAAUGGGUGUGGUUGAAAAGUUGAGUGCUGUGGACCGAGUGGCUUCAGCUAUUGUCUACAGCAUUUCCUCCCUUGUCUGGGAGGUUCUGGCUCCUCCGGCAAGGGCAGUUGCAGGCCCAAAUAAAUGUCUGGGUUUUCUUACUCAAGGAUGAGGAGGUGAGGGCGGCGGGGCAGUGGGGGCGGCGGUGGAGCAGGCUUUCUGGCAGGGAUUCCACUAGGGGGUAAGUCUAUCUUUAAAACAAAGUAAACUGGGGCCACCCGUCUCAGCAGCUAAAUGAUUUCCUGGUUGAUAGGAGGUGAGGACAAGAUGAAUGGCUCUGGGAAAAGAAACUGUGAGGAGAGAAAGGAAGAAGAAAAAUGAGAGAAGCAUUGAGGAAGACUUAUGAGCCAGAAGAAACGUAAAGGUAGACGAUUUGCUUUUUCAGUUUGGAGCGGAGACAGGAAGAUAAUCCCUUUGUCCUCAAAUAGUAAAAGCCCUGGGGUCUGUUCUUCCCUGGGAGUCCCCGGCGAUGAUACUGAGCCCCUAGGGAAAGACAGCCAGCUUGCCUGAGGUUUCCAAAUCCUGUCUUGUGGUGAGAGGCUGAAGACUGUCAGGGCCAGAAUCAAUACCUGUCGUGUACACAUCAGAGGUGGUGCCCUCAGAUAGGAUUAGGCUGUCUGGCCAUCGUUUGUCAUGGGUAUUUCUCUGCAAAUGUUGUAUGGUUAUCAGUCCAGUUCACCUGAUUUUUUUCUUUUUUUUUUUUUUAAAAACAAAACUGCAGGCCAUCUUUGAGAAGACCUCAGCCUAAACGGUGGAAAUACAUAGAUUCAUUUGUGCCUUGAAUUCACACGUAGCAAAAACAGCACACACCAGCAGCGGCUUGUCCUCUGUCCCCAUCCAUUAGGAUUAUGAUAAAUGAGGUCGGAGGAAGGCUGGGUCUGGGUGAUUCCAUUUGUGUGUUGGUUUCUUCCUGUCCUCUGGGUUUUGGGUCACCUGCUGCUCUGUGUCAGUAGCAGAGUACUGGGUCACAUCCAGCACUCUCUAGGUUUUAUGGGUCACUCUCUUGAAUGAAAGCUUGAUUUUCCACAGAAGAGAAUGCUGUCUCCGGCAAUUGUUCAAAAUGUAGCAUCUCAAAUGUAGACCCUUCAACUGUGUUUACAUGCCUUGUGCAGGCUUUUUCUUUUCUUAGCUUUCAAUUCUUCAGAUAUGGAAUAUGCUGGAGAUGUGACUCCUUUGUUGUUCAAGGGUGAUUUGCAUAUCAUCUUGACUGAUGUGCGUGAACAACUUGCCUGUGACCGGGGCUGUGGUGGCAAGGGCUGUAGAGACAUCUGUGACUUUUGAUGGAAGGAAGCAGUUUCUUACUGAGAGUCACUGACUCCUUAACUCCCUCUAGUCUGUCUGUGAGUUCCAUGUUGCCUUCAUGACUGCUCAGCUCAGCUGAAUACUGUCCUCUUGCUAUUUAAUUAAGAUUUUGUUGUUUUUUGAAACCCUAUAAAUGUGUAAUCUCUGUGUCUCUGUCUCUCUCUCUCACAUACACAUGUAACAGUGAAUGACUCAUAAAUAUGAAAAGUAAAAUUUUGAAUUUUAACUCCGGAAAAUCAACCUGAUUGAUAAAGUACUGAUAUAAUAUUUCCAAAGUGGAAAUUCAUGAAGAAAAUAGAUUCUUAGGCACUUAGUAAUACCAGGAACAUUUUACCAGCAUUGUCUCAUUUAACUUCUAACAACUUUUAAAGACAGGGUAUGCUUUAUUGUAGCAAUCAAGCAAUUGUAACUUGCCAAGGCCACGGUAAGCACGGGGCCAGGCCAGGGGCCUGCUGAUGUCCCACACUGUUAAUUAUUCUCUAUGCUGAGCUUUAGCUACUUUGCAGCUAUUUAUUGCAUUAAAUUCAUAAUCCCGCUUUCAUCAUAGUAAAAACAGUAAUAGUCACACAACAGAACUAUUUGCAGUGGCCUCUGGCCAAGGCCAUUUGAUCCAGAGUCAAAACCUCUUAUUUGUACAGUGCUUUUACUUUGUCAAAAUCUAAUAAGGGUGGUUUUCAUACCUGAGGACAAUCAAACUGAUGUCUAUUUAGUAUAGUAACAUAUCAAAUUAUUAAUGGCAUAUAUAUUUUAGUAUGUUUCUAUGCUUAUCAUUCUGUUUUAGAAAGUUGGGGGCUCAAAAAUGCUUUAGAAAAAUUUCUUCUCCAAGGACAGGAGAUGGCUAGGUGUCCCUUUUAAAGGCAAUGCUUCUUAGUGAGAGAGUGGAGAUGAGAAUUCAUGUCCCUAACUGAGAGUUUAUUGUCCUUUCUAAUAACACCACACAAUCUGGUGUCUAUCUAAAGGCGUGGGUUCCUUGUCUAUUAAUAGCUCUACUAUUAAUAAUGUGCAGUGACUGGAUAUGCCAAGAUUUUGCUGGUGUUUUGGAGAACUGAAAAGGUUUCCGAGUUAUAUCUAGAAAGUCUUUGGAAUUUUUUCAACAUGCUAUAUGACUGGCAGCUGAAAAUAUGACAAGUAGGAAGGAAACGAGAAUGCAUUGACAAUCUGUUAUUUGCUAGACCUAUCAGUAGGCACUUUUUCUAUAAUAACCUUGUGAAACUGAUAUUAACUCUACUUGGUAGGGGAUGGAAGGUCAGAGAAAUUAGUAAUUGCUCCCAAGUUGUACCCUAAGAGUGUUUGAAUCUAGUCUGUCCAAUACCGAAGCUUUUACACUUUUAUUUCCUUGCCGCCAUGUAGUUUGAAAAAAUCAAAUACAUAGCAUUUCGUGCCUGGACCACCUCAGCAAGAAAACUGGGCACUCACUGAAGUAACAUACACUAAAAAUAAACACCCCUCUUCCUCCCACGAGCUUCCCAAGGUUGCAGAGAGGAACACUGGAGGUCUCCUAAGCAUAGGAAUGCUGCCUACAGUAAUCUAACAUCAGAGAAUAUCAUUCAGAUCACUUUUUUCUUCUUUUCUGAGUUUGUCUCUCGGAUCCCAUAUAUACUUUUGAAGUUUUUGUGAUGGAAAUUUUCAAGCAUACACUACAGUAGAGAGAACAGUAUAUUGAAGAACUGGGUACCUGGACCUGGCUUCAAUAAUUUCUGCCUUAGGGCACCUGGGUGGCUCAGUUGGUUAAGCAUCUGACUCUUGAUUUUGACUCAGGUCAUGAUCCCAGGGUCAUGUGAUGGAACCCUGAGUUGGGCUCUGUGCUGAACGUGGAGCUUACUUGAGAUUUUCUCUCUUCCUCUCCAUCUGCCCCUACCCCACUCUCUCUUUUUUUCUUUCUCUCUCUCAAAACAAUAAUAGUUCAUGCCCUAGUUUUAUGCUCUCUAUAUACUCUAUAUAUGUUGGCAUAAAUUAUGGAUGGUGUGUCUGCAUUUGAUGGUGAGUAGAUAAUGGACCAUACAUAUGCUUUUUACCUUUUAGGCCCUAGUCCUUUUUUU